UUCUACUCGUCCUCCGCGAGUCCCGCCGCUCCGACGCCGAGAUGGGGGGGGGGGCAAACUGCAGCCGCGACCCCGACGCUGCAACACGAACCGGCCGCUAAAUAUAACCCGAGUUGCUGCGCGUCCGCCGCCGAACUGCCAAUAUUUUCCAGCGCCUUCCCUGUGGGAUCCUGAGGCCUAACCAGGCUGAGAAUUCAAAUCUCUCCAGCAUGUUCUGGGUCUACCCUGGGGCCUCCUGCCAGUUGGAUGUGCCCUGAAAACCCUCAAAUGGAAGGCACCUGAGAGGCGUCCUAAUCACAAGUGACUCCGCUUCAAGCUCCCUGCGGAUUGUGGCCAAUGUCUCAACCCCUUAUUAAUUGCAUCUCAAGGGAACUGGUCAGUUUCUGGAUGCUUUGGGAAAUUCUGGAACUGCCCAACAACACAUUUGUUUGCCUCCGGGCCCCCCCCCCCCACACAAAGGUUAACUCAGCCAUGUUUGAUUGUGCACUAAUCUGUCAGGGUUACUGCACAGUCAAAUGGGUAAUUAAUCUUGAUAGAAAUUACGAUUCGACUUCUCAUAGUGUUGAAAUAAUAAGCACAACACUGGAAGACAACACAAGGACCAGAGGAGGAAUCAGAGGAAGAGAUGGAUGUGGAUCUAUUGUUGCUUCGGUGUCACGAUAACGAUGCAGAACCAGAUCCAUCAGCUCUAGAUGCAGCAUGUGAGAAAACCGAGGCUGGUAAUAGAAAAGCUUCAAUAGAGGCACCGAGCCAAUUACAACUUUAUUCUCGUAAUAUUACAAUUUAUGAGAAUAAAACAUUUAGUUUUCUUUAAUGUG